CACAUGCAGUCGAGCGGUAGCACAGAGAAGCUUGCUUCUUGGGUGACGAGCGGCGGACGGGUGAGUAAUGCAUAGGAAUCUGCCCGAUAGUGGGGGAUAACCUGGGGAAACCCAGGCUAAUACCGCAUACGUCCUACGGGAGAAAGGGGGCUCCGGCUCCCGCUAUGGGAUGAGCCUAUGUCGGAUUAGCUAGUUGGUGAGGUAACGGCUCACCAAGGCAACGAUCCGUAGCUGGUCUGAGAGGAUGAUCAGCCACAUCGGGACUGAGACACGGCCCGAACUCCUACGGGAGGCAGCAGUGGGGAAUAUUGGACAAUGGGCGCAAGCCUGAUCCAGCCAUGCCGCGUGUGUGAAGAAGGCCCUCGGGUUGUAAAGCACUUUCAGCGAGGAAGAACGCCUAGCGGUUAAUACCCGCUAGGAAAGACAUCACUCGCAGAAGAAGCACCGGCUAACUCCGUGCCAGCAGCCGCGGUAAUACGGAGGGUGCAAGCGUUAAUCGGAAUUACUGGGCGUAAAGCGCGCGUAGGUGGCUUGAUAAGCCGGUUGUGAAAGCCCCGGGCUCAACCUGGGAACGGCAUCCGGAACUGUCAAGCUAGAGUGCAGGAGAGGAAGGUAGAAUUCCCGGUGUAGCGGUGAAAUGCGUAGAGAUCGGGAGGAAUACCAGUGGCGAAGGCGGCCUUCUGGACUGACACUGACACUGAGGUGCGAAAGCGUGGGUAGCAAACAGGAUUAGAUACCCUGGUAGUCCACGCCGUAAACGAUGUCGACCAGCCGUUGGGUGCCUAGCGCACUUUGUGGCG
rnacentral:rRNA from 1 species